AGCGGGUGGAAUUCCACCCGCUCGAUGAAUCCCCCGUGCUCGUGACCCGGUCGAUGGAUCUCCCGGCGCUCGAGACUCUUCCCCUCCCCCGCUCGACUUUCCCCCUCAUUUCCUCUCUCUGCCCGCAGCGAACGCCCGCAGCUCCUCUUGCUCACUGUCUUUGGCCGCUCCCACCGUCGCCGCUCCGCCGCCGCCGUUCCGCUCCUCUGCCGGUGAUCUUUCCCCCUUUCUCUCUUGCUCUCUGAUGCCCUCGUCUUCUCCCAAAUCAGUGCCUUAAUCACCGUCGCUGCAACGCCUCCAAGAAAGUCCCCUGGCUUCCAUAUCCCACAAAGAGAUCAGUCCAAGCACGGUCGUUCUGCUCUCUCUGCUGCUAUCUUUAGCGGGAGCGGUCUUCCGGUGUCCAGCCGAAGGUUCUCACGCAGUUCUGAAGCUCAAUGUGACUUGCCACAAAUGCGGAGAACAGUUUGGAAAGUGGGAGGCUCUAGAUCGCGUCUUCUAAUACAGUGGAUGAAGUUACUGAGCUGGUUGAAGGUGAUUCAUCUAGAAAGAUUGUGGAGAUUAUCUGCAGGACAAGCUGGUUGAAGUCGGAGAGCCACUGUGGUAGAAUAGAAAGGGUUUUAAAAGUUCAUAACAUGCAAAAGACACUUGCUCGUUUCGAAGAAUACAGAGAAAUGGUGAAGAUAAAAGCCAUCAAGUUGCCAAAGAAACAUCCACGUUGCCUUGCUGAUGGCAAUGAAUUGUUGAGAUUUUAUGGCACCACUGUCACAUGCUCGUUAAGCAUGAACGGCUUGUCCAACCUCUGCAUAUCUGAAAAAUGUAGUGUAUGCAGGAUUAUCAGACAUGGGUUUUCUACAAAGAAGGAAAUUAAAAGAGGAAUUGGAGUC